rnacentral:ncRNA from 2 species
AUAUAAUACAACCUGCUAAGUGU